rnacentral:rRNA from 1 species
AGUGAACGCUGGCGGUAGGCCUAACACAUGCAAGUCGAACGGCAGCACAGUAAGAGCUUGCUCUUACGGGUGGCGAGUGGCGGACGGGUGAGGAAUACAUCGGAAUCUACUUUUUCGUGGGGGAUAACGUAGGGAAACUUACGCUAAUACCGCAUACGACCUACGGGUGAAAGCAGGGGAUCUUCGGACCUUGCGCGAUUGAAUGAGCCGAUGUCGGAUUAGCUAGUUGGCGGGGUAAAGGCCCACCAAGGCGACGAUCCGUAGCUGGUCUGAGAGGAUGAUAAGCCACACUGGAACUGAGACACGGUCCAGACUCCUACGGGAGGCAGCAGUGGGGAAUAUUGGACAAUGGGCGCAAGCCUGAUCCAGCCAUACCGCGUGGGUGAGGAAGGCCUUCGGGUUGUAAAGCCCUUUUGUUGGGAAAGAAAAGCAGCAGGUUAAUACCCCGCUGUUCUGACGGUACCCAAAGAAUAAGCACCGGCUAACUUCGUG